UAAUCAACGCAAAUGGGUCUAAUUGGUCUAACAACCAAAGCUCACGUGCCCUUGGCACAAUCUGAUGCAAAAUACAGAUAUCUAGGUCCAGCGUCAAUCGCGACGGCACCCGACAGUCCGAAACAGUCUACACACUACUGUAAAAUAAACUCGGUAUCUCAGCACGAGUGUAAACUCAUAUUACACUAAUCUGAGUAUCCACCGCAUACGAGCAGCGACGAUACAAACAAACCACAGCUCUUAAAAUUA
rnacentral:lncRNA from 1 species